UAAAUGAAUAUAAUCGAAACAAGUCCUUGACAGAUGAAACCAGAAGGAAAAUGGUGAACAUACUAGCGGCUGACAUAACGGAGAAGAAUGGUACAUCACCACCCAGACAGGUAAAAGAAAUGUAUGCCAGAGGUAUUGUGAGCUUGUUUCCCCACCUCAGUGAUCCAUUCUCUAGGACUGGCUCUGAGCAUUAUUAUGAUGGUGAAAGUGGGUCUGGGUACCUGGCCUGGAGAAUUAAAACUAUUCAGAGAUCUGCUGCCAAGAACG